GACGUAGGGCGCGAGCGUUGUCCGGAUUUAUUGGGCGUAAAGAGCGUGUAGGCGGCCGUACAGGUCAGCUGUGAAAACUCGAGGCUCAACCUCGAGACGUCGGUUGAAACCGUACGGCUAGAGUCCGGAAGAGGAGAGUGGAAUUCCCGGUGUAGCGGUGAAAUGCGCAGAUAUCGGGAAGAACACCCGUGGCGAAGGCGGCUCUCUGGGACGGUACUGACGCUGAGACGCGAAAAGCGUGGGGAGCGAACAGG
rnacentral:rRNA from 1 species